rnacentral:rRNA from 1 species
CAGUUCGGAUCGCAGUCUGCAACUCGACUGCGUGAAGGUGGAGUCGCUAGUAAUCGCGGAUCAGCAACGCCGCGGUGAAUGCGUUCCCGGGCCCUGUACACACCGCCCGUCAAGUCAUGAAAGUGGGCAGCACCCGAAGACGGUGGCCUAACCCUUGUGGGGGGAGCCGUCUAAGGUGAGGCUCGUGAUUGGGACUAAGUCGUAACAAGGUACC